GAUCCCUCCUUUGGGGUUUUACAGUGAGCCCAGGAUAAGGAGGUUCUGUGUUUCUAAAUGGGGAAGUGAUCAGAAGAGCUGAAGUGAAGACUGUGUGCUGUUUACCUCUCUAGGAAGCACAUGGACUCACUGCUGGAUGGCCAGAGGUGUUUUGAUGGGGUGCUUCUGAUCUGCACCCCAUCAAUGUCAAAUGUUCCCACUGAGCACUGGUGGUGGGGAAGCCCCAACUCACAUCCUUUUCCUUAGCUGUAGUUUUUCCAAAGCUGUAGUUUCACUGUAUCUGUUUAUGUCAGUAGGUUGAUUUAUUGUCACAUGUACACAGGAUUUUACUGAGUUAUUGCAGAAACUGUAUGCAUUUUUUGUAGUGUAGCAAUGUUCGUACAGAGAACAGAGGAACAGAAAAGACUGUCCUGUCCAAAUGUGCUCUCACCAUGAUCAUAAAGUUUCUGUCUGACCUUUCCUCAACUUACUUGCAUUAUAACACACUGAGAGCGCCUAUGAUCUCCAACAUCCAUUUAAGCCUAUCCUGUUUUCUUCACUGUUUCCAAAGUGGCAGCAUUAAACUGAUGGCUUUGCAGUCUCUGGGAUUCUUCUCUUUGAGCUGCAUGUCUUCUCUCCAAUAAAUAAAUAGAUGUUAUUUAUGAGUCUUCAUUAAUUAAUCUUCCUUAUACUUUUAGUGAACACAAAACAUGGGGCAUAUGCCCUAAUGAAGUUAAAUGAAGUCACUGUCACCCAGUGUAUAGAUGCCAUAGUAUUACAUUGCUGAAACAGGAGAAGAAAUCAAGUUGCAAGUUGUAGCCCCAGAAAUCCUUUAUUUUAUUUUACUUUGCUGUUUCUACCCCAUUAAAUACUUACAUUCAGUUAUCUCACAGGUUUUAGUUGACAUAUUCAGCAG